rnacentral:rRNA from 1 species
GGCGUUAAGUUGCAGGGUAUAGACCCGAAACCCGGUGAUCUAGCCAUGGGCAGGUUGAAGGUUGGGUAACACUAACUGGAGGACCGAACCGACUAAUGUUGAAAAAUUAGCGGAUGACCUGUGGCUGGGGGUGAAAGGCCAAUCAAACCGGGAGAUAGCUGGUUCUCCCCGAAAGCUAUUUAGGUAGCGCCUCGUGAACUCAUCUCCGGGGGUAGAGCACUGUUUCGGCUAGGGGGCCAUCCCGGCUUACCAACCCGAUGCAAACUGCGAAUACCGGAGAAUGUUAUCACGGGAGACACACGGCGGGUGCUAACGUCCGUCGUGAAGAGGGAAACAACCCAGACCGCCAGCUAAGGUCCCAAAGUCAUGGUUAAGUGGGAAACGAUGUGGGAAGGCCCAGACAGCCAGGAUGUUGGCUUAGAAGCAGCCAUCAUUUAAAGAAAGCGUAAUAGCUCACUGGUCGAGUCGGCCUGCGCGGAAGAUGUAACGGGGCUAAACCAUGCACCGAAGCUGCGGCAGCGACAUUUAGGUGUUGUUGGGUAGGGGAGCGUUCUGUAAGCCUGUGAAGGUGGCCUGUGAGGGUUGCUGGAGGUAUCAGAAGUGCGAAUGCUGACAUAAGUAACGAUAAAGCGGGUGAAAAGCCCGCUCGCCGGAAGACCAAGGGUUCCUGUCCAACGUUAAUCGGGGCAGGGUGAGUCGACCCCUAAGGCGAGGCCGAAAGGCGUAGUCGAUGGGAAACGGGUUAAUA